rnacentral:rRNA from 1 species
GAUGAACGCUGGCGGCGUGCCUAAUACAUGCAAGUCGAGCGAACGGACGAGAAGCUUGCUUCUCUGAUGUUAGCGGCGGACGGGUGAGUAACACGUGGAUAACCUACCUAUAAGACUGGGAUAACUUCGGGAAACCGGAGCUAAUACCGGAUAAUAUUUUGAACCGCAUGGUUCAAAAGUGAAAGACGGUCUUGCUGUCACUUAUAGAUGGAUCCGCGCUGCAUUAGCUAGUUGGUAAGGUAACGGCUUACCAAGGCAACGAUGCAUAGUCGACCUGAGAGGGUGAUCGGCCACACUGGAACUGAGACACGGUCCAGACUCCUACGGGAGGCAGCAGUAGGGAAUCUUCCGCAAUGGGCGAAAGCCUGACGGAGCAACGCCGCGUGAGUGAUGAAGGUCUUCGGAUCGUAAAACUCUGUUAUUAGGGAAGAACAUAUGUGUAAGUAACUGUGCACAUCUUGACGGUACCUAAUCAGAAAGCCACGGCUAACUACG